rnacentral:rRNA from 1 species
GGGGGAUAACAGUUAGAAAUGACUGCUAAUACCGCAUAAGCGCACAGGACCGCAUGGUCCGGUGUGAAAAACUCCGGUGGUAUGAGAUGGACCCGCGUCUGAUUAGUUAGUUGGCGGGGUAGCGGCCCACCAAGACGACGAUCAGUAGCCGACCUGAGAGGGUGACCGGCCACAUUGGGACUGAGACACGGCCCAAACUCCUACGGGAGGCAGCAGUGGGGAAUAUUGCACAAUGGGGGAAACCCUGAUGCAGCGACGCCGCGUGAGUGAAGAAGUAUUUCGGUAUGUAAAGCUCUAUCAGCAGGGAAGAAGUUGACGGUACCUGAGUAAGAAGCCCCGGCUAACUACGUGCCAGCAGCCGCGGUAAUACGUAGGGGGCAAGUGUUAUCCGGAUUUACUGGGUGUAAAGGGAGCGUAGACGGCAGUGCAAGUCUGAAGUGAAAGCCCCGGGCUUAACCCGGGAACUGCUUUGGAAACUGUACGGCUGGAGUGCUGGAGAGGUAAGCGGAAUUCCUAGUGUAGCGGUGAAAUGCGUAGAUAUUAGGAGGAACACCAGUGGCGAAGGCGGCUUACUGGACAGUAACUGACGUUGAGGCUCGAAAGCGUGGGGAGCAAACAGGAUUAGAUACCCUGGUAGUCCACGCCGUAAAC